CAAUAACAUUAUUACAGCCUCGACAGCUCAGCGGUUAAAGAAGCGGACUAAAAUCUAAGAGGUCGCCGGUUCAAACCCUACCCGUAGCACUCUGCUGUACCGACUCCUAGCACAAGCUUUACGUUUCAUUAGAGGGGAAAGAGGAAUAUUAGUCAUUAUGA